rnacentral:rRNA from 1 species
GAAUUUUCCGCAAUGGGCGAAAGCCUGACGGAGCAAUACCGCGUGAGGGAUGACGGCCUAUGGGUUGUAAACCUCUUUUCUCAGGGAGGAAUCAAUGACGUGUACCUGAGGAAUAAGCAUCGGCUAACUCCGUGCCAGCAGCCGCGGUAAGACGGAGGAUGCAAGUGUUAUCCGGAAUCACUGGGCGUAAAGCGUCUGUAGGUGGUCAAAUAAGUCAACUGUUAAAUCUUGAGGCUUAACCUCAAAAUCGCAGUCGAAACUAUUAGACUAGAGUAUAGUAGGGGUAGAGGGAAUUUCCAGUGGAGCGGUGAAAUGCGUAGAGAUUGGAAAGAACACCGAUGGCGAAGGCACUUUACUGGGCUAUUACUGACACUGAGAGACGAAAGCUAGGGUAGCAAAUGGGAUUAGAUACCCCAGUAGUC